UCCAGCGGUUGUCAGCUAUCCAGGCUAGUGUGAUGCCUUGGAUGGUGUUACACUGUUGGAAGAGCAAGCGCUGCCUUUAAUGAGGUCUGGCUCCAAGCACUGUUUUGGUGUUGUGGCCGAGUACCUUUGGGCAGUGUUUUGCACCUCUGAGAGUGGAAUAACUCCUCCUGUGGAGUUAGUCCUAGUCUGGGUGCGAACAAU
rnacentral:snoRNA from 1 species